rnacentral:miRNA from 1 species
AGCAUGUGUUUCAUUGAUGCACACCAAAAUGUGCAUGUGUGUGUAGUUGUGUGCAUAUUCACUUCUCUAUGUGAAUAUGCAUAUACACACAUGCAGACACA